GGGGGAUUAGCUCAGUUGGGAGAGCACCUGCCUUGCACGCAGGGGGUCAAGAGUUCGAAUCUCUUAUUCUCCACCA
rnacentral:tRNA from 3 species